rnacentral:tRNA from 1 species
CACGCGAAAGGUCCUCGGUUCGAAACCGGGCGGGAACAGUACUCUUUGACAAGUGCAGUAGGUACUGUACUUUCAACAAAGAAUUGUUAUUUUCAUGAAUUCUGUAUUUUGGAAAUUCGAAUACGUGCCAUGAAUAUUUUUAAAAUUCGGUUUACUCCUUGCAGCUAAUUGUAGCAGUAGUUUCUGUGGUGUAGUGGUUAUCACGUUUGCUUCACACGCGAAAGGUCCCUGGUUCGAAACCGGGCGGAAACAAAACUCAUUGACACAUUCUGAAGUACCAUAGUGGUAACAGAAAAUUUCAUGAAUUCUUUAUUUUGGAAAUUCGAAUAUGUGACAUGAAUAUCUGUAAAAUUCGGUUUACUCCUUGUAGCUAAAUGUAGCAGCAGUUUCUGUAGUGUAGUGGUUAUCGCGUUCGCUUUACACGCGAAAGGUCCUCGGUUCGAAACCGGGUGGAAACAGAGCUCUUUGACAUGUGCAGUAGGUACUGUACUAUUAACAGAGAAUAGUUAUUUUCAUAAAUGCCUAAUUUUGGAAAUUUGAACACGUGCCAUGAAUAUCUGUAAAAUUCGGUUUACUCCUCACAGCUAAAUGUAGCAGCAGUUUCUGUAGUGUAGUGGUUAUCACGUUUGUUCACACGCGAAAGGUCUCUGGUUCGAAACCAGGCGGAAACAACGCUCAUUGACACAUACUGAAGUGCCAUAGUGGUAACAGAAAAUUUCAUGAGUUCUUUAUUUUGGAAAUUCGAAUACGUGCCAUGAAUAUUUUUAAAAUUCGGUUUACUCCUUGCAGAAAAAUCAAGCAGCAGUUUCUGUAGUGUAGUGGUUAUCACGUUAGCUUUACACGUGAAAGGUCCUCAGUUUGAAACUGGGAGGAAACAGUGCUCUUUGACACGUGCAGUAGGUACAGUACUUUUAAAAGAGAAUAGUUAUUUUCAUAAAUGCCUAAAUUUGGAAAUUUCAACACGUGCCAUGAAUAUCUGUAAAAUUCGGUUUACUCCUUGCAGCUAAAUGUAGCAGCAGUUUCUGUAGUGUAGUGGUUAUCACGUUAGCUUUACACGUGAAAG